rnacentral:rRNA from 1 species
AGCUAGUUGGUAAGGUAACGGCUUACCAAGGCAUCGAUGUCUAGGGGGUCUGAGAGGAUGGUCCCCCACACUGGUACUGAGACACGGACCAGAGUCCUACGGGAGGCAGCAGUGAGGAAUAUUGGGCAAUGGACGCAAGUCUGACCCAGCCAUGCCGCGUGCAGGAUGACUGCCCUAUGGGUUGUAAACUGCUUUUCUGCGGGAAGAAACGUCCCAACGUGUUGGGAUUUGCCGGUACUGCAGGAAUAAGCAUCGGCUAACUCCGUGCCAGCACCCGCGGUAAUACCGAGGAUGCAAGCGUUAUCCGGAUUCAUUGGGUUUAAAGGGUGCGUAGACGGUUUUUUAAGUCAGUGGUGAAUCCUGCGGGCUCAACCGUAGAAUUGCCAUUGAUACUGGAAGACUUGAAUAUAGUUGAGGUAGGCGGAAUGUGUAAUGUAGCGGUGAAAUGCUUAGAUAUUACACAGAACACCGAUUGCGAAGGCAGCUUACUAGACUAUUAUUGACGCUAAUGCACGAAAGCGUGGGGAGCGAACAGGAUUAGAUACCCUGGUAGUCCACGCUGUAAACGAUGAUCACUCGCUGUUGGCGAUACACAGUCAGCGGCUGAGCGAAAGCAUUAAGUGAUCCACCUGGGGAGUACGUCGGCAACGAUGAAACUCAAAGGAAUUGACGGGGGCCCGCACAAGCGGAGGAACAUGUGGUUUAAUUCGAUGAUACGCGAGGAACCUUACCUGGGCUUAAAUGUAGAGUGCAUGAAAGGGAAACCUUUCUUUCCUUCGGGACUCUUUACAAGGUGCUGCAUGGUUGUCGUCAGCUCGUGCCGUGAGGUGUCGGGUUAAGUCCCAUAACGAGCGCAACCCCUAUCGUUAGUUGCUAUCAGGUAAAGCUGAGGACUCUAGCGAGACUGCCGGUGUAAACCGAGAGGAAGGUGGGGAUGACGUCAAAUCAGCACGGCCCUUAUGUCCAGGGCUACACACGUGUUACAAUGGUCGGUACAAAGAGCAGCCACUUGGCAACAAGGCGCUAAUCUCGAAAGCCGAUCUCAGUUCGGAUUGAAGUCUGCAACUCGACUUCAUGAAGGUGGAUUCGCUAGUAAUCGCGCAUCAGCCACGGCGCGGUGA